GUAUGACGCUUCGUAUAAUAAGUCAAGUAAUAAUACUUAGAUCACAUGCCGGUGUCGUCUUUAUGUUGUCUUGACAUAAUCGACAUACAUUUAUUUUCUUAAAUGAAGGUUCUACGGGAACCUUGAGGCCCUCCGGAAUACUGCACAUUUCAUCGCUGUGGCUGGGGUGACGUUGUAGAAGGGCGAACGACAAGAAGAGGAAAAAGUUGUUUCCCUUUUAUGCAAUACCCUAUAAAUAUAUCUUGUGAGAUAAUUUGUUCAAUAUUUCCUUUAAUUAUUGUAUCACCAUUAAACUUAGAACUUAAAUACUUACUGUUUUCAGUUUUAAGAUAAUAGUGACCUUGAACUUUGACCUUGUGACCCAAAAAUCAAUAGGGGUCUUUUAACCCAAUAUGGACAAUCAUCCUAUGAAGUUUGAAUAUUGUGGGCCAAAUGGAACUCAAGUUAUGCUCUAUGUAACCAAAUUGCUAACAGACGGACGGACACAAGUGUAUUUUAACCAGAACAUUAAGCAUUAAGUUUACAGUCAAAGUAUCCCUUUGGGUUCCGCAUUUUUACUAGAAUGUUCUUGGUGUUGUAUAUUUUUCUUUUCGGUAGUUUUAUAUCUUUUCUGGUUUUAGUAACGUUUUGCGCUCCGCAAUUAUUCACGAUAUUUCAAAGGCAAAAUUUAGUCUUAUAGCCCCACACAGUUCUUUUACCAUACGAAUGUUGGGGAAACAACCACAUUAAAGGUUAAACUGCUUGCAUGACUCAUGAAACAAUGUUGAUAAAAUUGUGCCAAAGAAGGAAUUUUAAGGAGGAACUAGAUUCAAUAAGGUCCAAAAGGCCAAAUAAUCUUGCACUACAGCGACGAAGAGGGAUUAAUGAGGUGCAAGGGACGUCUUGACAAUGCUGAACUCUCAGAAGAAAUGUAUUCGGUAGAGUCUAUUCACGAAAAGACCAAAAAGAAUAGCGGCAAUGGUCGCAAAAAAUUGUUCGAAAACUUGAUAUUAAGUCUUGUUGUGAAUUGUUUUCUAGAUAUAUGUUUAUUACUUGUGGAAUAAUUGAUUAGUCAUUCACAAGUAGAUACAAUAUAGUGUAUGCAGGUUGACUAUAAAAAGUUACUUAUGCAGUGUACGAAAAAAUUUAUCAGUAUACAGUGUUACAUAAAUGAGUAAAUAAACAAAUUUAUUGAAAAAUAUUAA